CAGUAGCCGCGGUAAUACAGAGGAUGCAAGCGUUAUCCGGAAUGAUUGGGCGUAAAGCGUCUGUAGGUGGCUUUUCAAGUCCGCCGUCAAAUCCCAGGGCUCAACCCUGGACAGGCGGUGGAGACUACCAAGCUGGAGUAUGGUAGGGGCAGAGGGAAUUUCCGGUGGAGCGGUGAAAUGCGUUGAGAUUGGAAAGAACACCAACGGUGAAGGCACUCUGCUGGGCCGACACUGACACUGAGAGACGAAAGCUAGGGGAGCAAAUGGGAUUAGAUACCCGGGUAGUCCCUGUCUCUUAUAC
rnacentral:rRNA from 1 species